UACGUAGGGGGCAAGCGUUGUCCGGAAUCAUUGGGCGUAAAGCGCGUGUAGGCGGUCCGGUAAGUCCGCUGUGAAAGUCGGGGGCUCAACCCUCGGAUGCCGGUGGAUACUGUCGGGCUGGAGUGCGGAAGAGGCGAGUGGAAUUCCUGGUGUAGCGGUGAAAUGCGCAGAUAUCAGGAGGAACACCAAUUGCGAAGGCAGCUCGCUGGGACGUUACUGACGCUGAGACGCGAAAGCGUGGGGAGCAAACAGG
rnacentral:rRNA from 1 species